AUCUUUUUGUAGUUCAUGAGCGUGAUGACUGGGUGUUCACGUUGUUGUGUGACAUGUGCUCCCUCCUAAACCUUGUUAGGACACCGGCACAUUACCCAUCAGACU
rnacentral:snoRNA from 1 species